GGGAGAGGAAGUGUCGCUCAUUGUUAGGAUUUGAACUCAAGUGAUCGGUGCUAUUUCAUACCAGUAAAUGCCACAUGAACAAAGGGUUCACUUAAGAAUAUGACUUGUGGAAGUCAAAACGUAUGAGAAAGACAAGCCUCACUUCAUCCUGUAGGAUGAAGCACAUAAGAAAACUUUAACAGGCUAAGAUUCAACAACAACUCACGAGUCAGUCUUGGGAUCAUAUAUUUCCACUGAGUGAAGUGAUGACACACCAUCGUAGCCUC